GGGGCGACCAAGAAGGGUCAAACCCUAAUCAACACAAUUUCAUCAAAUUGAAGGGGCAAAUCAAGUCCAAAUCAAAAUCCGAGUAUGAAUUAGUGAUCUCCAUUGAAAAAGGAGUCAUGAGUUUGACGCUUGACAAGCUAGGUGGAGGCUUGGAAAGGAAGCGGGUCAAACGAAGCAAGAAUGGCGGAAAAGCAUAAUUCG
rnacentral:lncRNA from 1 species